rnacentral:tRNA from 1 species
UGCGCUUAUAGCUCAGUUGGAUAGAGCGUUACUCUCCGAAGGUAAAGGUCGUGGGUUCAAAUCCCUCUGGGCGCAU